rnacentral:tRNA from 2 species
GGAAUAGCUCAGUUGGUAGAGCAUAACCUUGCCAAGGUUGGGGUCGCGAGUUCGAGUCUCGUUUCC